rnacentral:rRNA from 1 species
UUAAGCGACUAAGCGUACACGGUGGAUGCCCUGGCAGUCAGAGGCGAUGAAGGACGUGCUAAUCUGCGAUAAGCGUCGGUAAGGUGAUAUGAACCGUUAUAACCGGCGAUUUCCGAAUGGGGAAACCCAGUGUGAUUCGUCACACUAUCAUUAACUGAAUCCAUAGGUUAAUGAGGCGAACCGGGGGAACUGAAACAUCUAAGUACCCCGAGGAAAAGAAAUCAACCGAGAUUCCCCCAGUAGCGGCGAGCGAACGGGGAGCAGCCCAGAGCCUGAAUCAGUGUGUGUGUUAGUGGAAGCGUCUGGAAAGGCGUGCGAUACAGGGUGACAGCCCCGUACACAAAAAUACACAUACUGUGAGCUCGAUGAGUAGGGCGGGACACGUGGUAUCCUGUCUGAAUAUGGGGGGACCAUCCUCCAAGGCUAAAUACUCCUGACUGACCGAUAGUGAACCAGUACCGUGAGGGAAAGGCGAAAAGAACCCCGGCGAGGGGAGUGAAAAAGAACCUGAAACCGUGUACGUACAAGCAGUGGGAGCACGCUUAGGCGUGUGACUGCGUACCUUUUGUAUAAUGGGUCAGCGACUUAUAUUCUGUAGCAAGGUUAACCGAAUAGGGGAGCCGAAGGGAAACCGAGUCUUAACUGGGCGUUAAGUUGCAGGGUAUAGACCCGAAACCCGGUGAUCUAGCCAUGGGCAGGUUGAAGGUUGGGUAACACUAACUGGAGGACCGAACCGACUAAUGUUGAAAAAUUAGCGGAUGACUUGUGGCUGGGGGUGAAAGGCCAAUCAAACCGGGAGAUAGCUGGUUCUCCCCGAAAGCUAUUUAGGUAGCGCCUCGUGAAUUCAUCUCCGGGGGUAGAGCACUGUUUCGGCAAGGGGGUCAUCCCGACUUACCAACCCGAUGCAAACUGCGAAUACCGGAGAAUGUUAUCACGGGAGACACACGGCGGGUGCUAACGUCCGUCGUGAAGAGGGAAACAACCCAGACCGCCAGCUAAGGUCCCAAAGUCAUGGUUAAGUGGGAAACGAUGUGGGAAGGCCCAGACAGCCAGGAUGUUGGCUUAGAAGCAGCCAUCAUUUAAAGAAAGCGUAAUAGCUCACUGGUCGAGUCGGCCUGCGCGGAAGAUGUAACGGGGCUAAACCAUGCACCGAAGCUGCGGCAGCGACGCUGAUGCGUUGUUGGGUAGGGGAGCGUUCUGUAAGCCUGUGAAGGUGUGCUGUGAGGCAUGCUGGAGGUAUCAGAAGUGCGAAUGCUGACAUAAGUAACGAUAAAGCGGGUGAAAAGCCCGCUCGCCGGAAGACCAAGGGUUCCUGUCCAACGUUAAUCGGGGCAGGGUGAGUCGACCCCUAAGGCGAGGCCGAAAGGCGUAGUCGAUGGGAAACAGGUUAAUAUUCCUGUACUUGGUGUUACUGCGAAGGGGGGACGGAGAAGGCUAUGUUGGCCGGGCGACGGUUGUCCCGGUUUAAGCGUGUAGGCUGGUUUUCCAGGCAAAUCCGGAAAAUCAAGGCUGAGGCGUGAUGACGAGGCACUACGGUGCUGAAGCAACAAAUGCCCUGCUUCCAGGAAAAGCCUCUAAGCAUCAGGUAACAUCAAAUCGUACCCCAAACCGACACAGGUGGUCAGGUAGAGAAUACCAAGGCGCUUGAGAGAACUCGGGUGAAGGAACUAGGCAAAAUGGUGCCGUAACUUCGGGAGAAGGCACGCUGAUAUGUAGGUGAAGCGACUUGCUCGUGGAGCUGAAAUCAGUCGAAGAUACCAGCUGGCUGCAACUGUUUAUUAAAAACACAGCACUGUGCAAACACGAAAGUGGACGUAUACGGUGUGACGCCUGCCCGGUGCCGGAAGGUUAAUUGAUGGGGUCAGCGCAAGCGAAGCUCUUGAUCGAAGCCCCGGUAAACGGCGGCCGUAACUAUAACGGUCCUAAGGUAGCGAAAUUCCUUGUCGGGUAAGUUCCGACCUGCACGAAUGGCGUAAUGAUGGCCAGGCUGUCUCCACCCGAGACUCAGUGAAAUUGAACUCGCUGUGAAGAUGCAGUGUACCCGCGGCAAGACGGAAAGACCCCGUGAACCUUUACUAUAGCUUGACACUGAACAUUGAGCCUUGAUGUGUAGGAUAGGUGGGAGGCUUGGAAGUGUGGACGCCAGUCUGCAUGGAGCCGACCUUGAAAUACCACCCUUUAAUGUUUGAUGUUCUAACGUUGACCCGUAAUCCGGGUUGCGGACAGUGUCUGGUGGGUAGUUUGACUGGGGCGGUCUCCUCCUAAAGAGUAACGGAGGAGCACGAAGGUUGGCUAAUCCUGGUCGGACAUCAGGAGGUUAGUGCAAUGGCAUAAGCCAGCUUGACUGCGAGCGUGACGGCGCGAGCAGGUGCGAAAGCAGGUCAUAGUGAUCCGGUGGUUCUGAAUGGAAGGGCCAUCGCUCAACGGAUAAAAGGUACUCCGGGGAUAACAGGCUGAUACCGCCCAAGAGUUCAUAUCGACGGCGGUGUUUGGCACCUCGAUGUCGGCUCAUCACAUCCUGGGGCUGAAGUAGGUCCCAAGGGUAUGGCUGUUCGCCAUUUAAAGUGGUACGCGAGCUGGGUUUAGAACGUCGUGAGACAGUUCGGUCCCUAUCUGCCGUGGGCGCUGGAGAACUGAGGGGGGCUGCUCCUAGUACGAGAGGACCGGAGUGGACGCAUCACUGGUGUUCGGGUUGUCAUGCCAAUGGCACUGCCCGGUAGCUAAAUGCGGAAGAGAUAAGUGCUGAAAGCAUCUAAGCACGAAACUUGCCCCGAGAUGAGUUCUCCCUGACUCCUUGAGAGUCCUGAAGGAACGUUGAAGACGACGACGUUGAUAGGCCGGGUGUGUAAGCGCAGCGAUGCGUUGAGCUAACCGGUACUAAUGAACCGUGAGGCUUAACCUU